AACGCACCUUGCGCUCUCUGGUAUUCCGGGGAGCACACCUGUUCGAGUGUCAUUAAAAUCCUCAAAUAAAGGUGGCUUUGCAGCUAUCUCUGUUUGGAUUUGGGCUUUGCUGCAUAUUAAUUGUGGCUAGUCUUAAAUAUAUUAGCUGAUCCUUAUUGAGGUUUUGGUUCUACUCAGCGUGGUAAUUAUCUAACGUUGAGGACAGUCUCAGAACUGGCCAUGGCUCUCUCUGGAUUGCUUCUAGACUGUCUUUGGGGACAAUUGCUUAAUUUCUGACCUCGAAUCAGGUGGGACUACCCGCUGAACUUAA
rnacentral:misc_RNA from 1 species